GGGCAGCCUCAGCAAGAACUGCCAUCCUGCGGGCAGUCCCAAAGUAGGGGUUGAGCUUGAGCACAGCAGCAGCAUUCUUCAGAGGGUUCUUCCUGGCCUCCCUGCGCUUAACCUCCUUGUUGAUGGGCUUCACAACAGACUGGACCUCGUCAGAGUUGAUGAGGCGGCCAAGGUCAGCGUUGGUCAUCUUAGGCCUGGGGAGGACGAAGCCCUUCUUCUUGGAGGAAGACGCCUCAAAGGAGCCGUACACCUCGUCCAGCUUCUUGAAGGCAGACUCGGUCCAGAUCACAAACCGGCCAAGGUGGCCACCAGGGGCAAGGUCGAGCAGGUUGAGGCGCUCGACGUUGGCAACAUCCACACCUGGGAGGUUGCGGAAGGCCUUGACGAUCUUGGAGCCCUCGGUGCCG
rnacentral:lncRNA from 1 species